AGAGUUUGAUCAUGGCUCAGGACGAACGCUGGCGGCGUGCUUAACACAUGCAAGUCGAACGGAAAGGCCCUUCGGGGUACUCGAGUGGCGAACGGGUGAGUAACACGUGGGUGAUCUGCCCUGCACUUUGGGAUAAGCCUGGGAAACUGGGUCUAAUACCGAAUAGGACCACGCGCUUCAUGGUGUGUGGUGGAAAGCUUUUGCGGUGUGGGAUGGGCCCGCGGCCUAUCAGCUUGUUGGUGGGGUAAUGGCCUACCAAGGCGACGACGGGUAGCCGGCCUGAGAGGGUGACCGGCCACACUGGGACUGAGAUACGGCCCAGACUCCUACGGGAGGCAGCAGUGGGGAAUAUUGCACAAUGGGCGCAAGCCUGAUGCAGCGACGCCGCGUGGGGGAUGACGGCCUUCGGGUUGUAAACCUCUUUCAGUAUCGGCGAAGCUCCAGGAUUUUUCUUGGGGUGACGGUAGGUACAGAAGAAGCACCGGCCAACUACGUGCCAGCAGCCGCGGUAAUACGUAGGGUGCGAGCGUUGUCCGGAAUUACUGGGCGUAAAGAGCUCGUAGGUGGUUUGUCACGUUGUCCGUGAAAACUCACAGCUUAACUGUGGGCGUGCGGGCGAUACGGGCAGACUAGAGUACUGCAGGGGAGACUGGAAUUCCUGGUGUAGCGGUGGAAUGCGCAGAUAUCAGGAGGAACACCGGUGGCGAAGGCGGGUCUCUGGGCAGUAACUGACGCUGAGGAGCGAAAGCGUGGGGAGCGAACAGGAUUAGAUACCCUGGUAGUCCAA
rnacentral:rRNA from 1 species